UACGUAGGGGGCGAGCAUUGUCCGGAUUUAUUGGGCGUAAAGAGCUCGUAGGCGGUUUGGUAAGUUGGAUGUGAAAUCUCCAGGCUCAACUUGGAGGGGUCAUUCGAUACUGCCAUGACUAGAGUUCGGUAGGGGAGUGUGGAAUUCCUGGUGGAGCGGUGAAAUGCGCAGAUAUCAGGAGGAACACCCGUAGCGAAGGCGGCACUCUGGGCCGGAACUGACGCUGAGGAGCGAAAGCGUGGGGAGCGAACAGG
rnacentral:rRNA from 1 species